GUUCUAACUGUGACACUUCCACCCUAG
rnacentral:piRNA from 1 species